UAUUUACAUCUGUCGUAAGACCAUUUUUUUAAGCGGGUUGAUUGGCCGCUGAAUAGAAAAUUUCUAGAUAUUCGAGAAUUUUAUUAUCUUGCAGCCAAUCAACACACUUAAAAAAUUUGUCAUACAACAAAUGUAAUACUAGCCUAAGACAACAACGGACGACUCUUCGAACUCAUGCUCACCCUUUCAAGUGUCCCUCUCCUGUUAACAUAUUAUACUUUUGCGCGUAACGCCUGUUUCCGUCCAAGAUAAACGCCACGUGUCCAGGUAUCUGGCCGGUCUUGAGUAUCCUGACGACCAGGGAUAGAAACCAGUCCCGAAUGUUGUUCAUUAACCACGACAUCGCACUUGGAAGUUUACUUGCGUGACUACUGAAAUAUACUACUUGAAAGCACACGGCCGUCCAAUCUUUUAUUACGAAGUGAUCCGAGCCAGAGCGUCCCAAGUGAUAUAUAUCACGUGUGUUAUGUAAGAAUUAUGGGGUAUUCGUUUAUGCAACUCUUAGCGCAUCCACUUAGUGCUGUCCGAGAGCGGCCUUUGAUAGCACGGUCGCAUAGGAAGGGGAUGACGCACACAAGCGAGCGACCGUGCUACCAAAGGCCGCUCUCGGACAGCACUGCAUCCACUGCGUCUCUCAUCUGCUAAUCACGUGACGUAAUUUACCGAACGGACAACUGCGUGAACGACUGCUCGGACGUUUGACUCCUCCCAUUUGUUUAGAGAAACCAUAAUGAUUAAUAUUAUUCAUGCAAUGGAUCUUGAUCGACAGUAGCUCAUCAGAUUCUGAUUUAUGGUCAGAUAGCUCUGAUGAAGAGCUACUAUUAUUAGAUGAUACGUUUUACAUUUAUUUACGCAGUACUGCAAGCAGAGCAUCCAGAGCAGGACCUCCGAAGUAGCUGCGCAGAUAGGAUGCAUCUCUGCGUAAACGAACGACAAACUGCACUGCAGUCGUUUUCGUAGGCAGAGUAAACGAACUACAUCUAUUGCAGUCACUGCGUAAACGAAUGCACCCAUGUUGUUGAGCAACGGUGGGUAAUUUUCAUCGCCCGUGGGCGUCCGUUUGCCCGCGGGCAAUAGCUGUGCGUGUCGGGCAAUAGUGGGGAGACAGUUUCGGCAAGUGGGAAAGAACACGGUUUUUCGCUUCUUUACACGUUUCAUUAGUACAUUCUCUUUAUGAAUAAUGGACGUGUGAACUUAAGACAUCUAAAAAAUUUGCAACAUGUUGCAACUUCAGCUGCCAAAGUAGUCGAUCAAUAUCAAUGACCAUGAAGCUUACUAUGCUACGAUGCAAAUCAAAUGUAACAGAAUUAAGUUUUAUAUUAAUUUUUUCCAUUUUUAAAUAGUUUUAUCAUAAAUUAUUAGAGUCCGACCGAAAUUUCGGUUUUGGUUUCGGCCAUUUUCGGCCUAAAAUCAAGAUUUCGGCUUGAUUUCGGUUUCGGCCGAAAUAGAGAGAAAAUUUCGGUGACGUAAGCCGAAACCAGAAACUAGAAAUCGCAACACGUCGCGUUGGUCAACGCCAAUUGCGCCGGCGCGAUUUCUUCCUUCUUUACCCGCUUUUUACUCUCCUUCAAAUGUUUAGUGCCUGAAAUGCAUAACAUCGAACGUAACCUCUCAAACGCUCAUCGGUUGCUAACAGUGUCAAAUAGUAAUAUCCGAUUCUCUUGAAGUUGAUCUCUUAUUUUAUAAUGUUUCUUCAUAUUUUAUUUUAUAUUGUAACUCGAGUAAAAUACUUUUAUAUUUU